CACCGGGAACCAACUCAUAGAGUUCCUGAAAGCUCAUCUUGGUGCUGCUGAUAUUCCUUAUAUAUCUCCACCCAAUGCAGGAAUUCCUACUGUGUCUUCACCACUAACCAAGCAGAACGCAUUCUUGCUGUUGGAUUGGAUUCAAAACCUGAAAUAUAGCAGAAGUCGCAUGCCAGAGAGGUUCUUAACUUGCAUAAAGGAUGGUAGCUGGCUGAGAAUAACUAUGAAUGGCUGUUCUGGAUAUAAACCACCAUCACAGUCUUUCCUGCUCAAGUCAAAUAGCGGAAACUCAGACUGGGGAAAUAUCAUGCAGAAUGCAGCUGUCCUUGUUGACAUUCCAUUAAUUGAUCAGAACUUUUAUGGUGAGAAAAUUUUCUCAUACAGGGAAGAGCUAAAAACAGUUGGAGUCAUGUUUGAUUAUGAAGAAGCCUGUGAAUUUGUUGCGAAACGUCUCAUGUCUCUUGCAGCUUCAUGGUCCUUAAGUAGAAGCAAUGUGAUCUCGAUGCUGAAUUUUAUUAAAUUUCUGAGUGAACGUUUUCUUUCUCCAGAGAAAUUCAUCCAUAGUGUCAGGGAAGGAAGAUGGCUACAAACAUCCUGUGGUCAAAGAUCUCCCGUUGGAUCUGUCCUGUAUGAUCAGGAAUGGGCAAUUGCAAAGCAGCUAAGUGACAUCCCCUUCAUCGAUCAACAGUAUUAUGGGGAUGAAAUUCUUCGUUUCAAAACAGAACUUCAGUUGCUUGGCGUCAUAGUUGGCUUCAAUGGAAAUUACAAGCUGGUCAUUGACUACCUGAAAUCUCCUUUAUGGUCAGCAUGUCUAACUUCUGAAGCUUUGGUUUUGGCAAUGGAUUGCAUGCGCCAUUGUGGGCCUGUGGACAAACUUGUUAGCGCAUGUAAAAAUACAAAUUGCUUGAAGACCAAUCUUGGUUAUAAGGCCCCGGGUGAAUGUUUUUUGUUUGAUCCUGAAUGGGGUUGCCUUCUAGAGGUUUUUGGUGGUUUCCCAUUGAUUGAUCAUAGUUUCUAUGGAAGCAGAAUCAACUCUUACAAAACACAGUUGAAGCAACUGGGAGUAAAGGUAGACUUUGAGGAGGCUGUGCGAGUCUUUGUGUUAAAAUUUAAGCAGCUGGGGUCAAAGUUUUCCAUUCAGACGAACAAUGUUCUUUCAUUUCUAUCGUGCUACAGAAAGCUAAAAGGUACUUAUGAAUUUCCUUCCGAUCUGGAAAGUUGCAUCCGUGAAGUGCAGUGGUUAAAAACCCGGCUUGGUGAUUAUCGAUCUCCACAAGGAUGCGUUCUGUAUGGACCUGAGUGGGAGUCCAUCGCUCCAAUUACUCUCCUUCCCCAUAUUGAUGACAGUGUCAAUUGUUAUGGAAAGGCCAUUCAUGAAUAUAAAGAGGAAUUGAAGAGCAUGGGCGUUAUUGUUAAAUUUAAAGAUGGUUUGGAGCUUGUGGUUUCUGCUCUUCAUUUUCCCCGGAAUCCUAGCACCAUAACUCCUUCAAAUGUUUUUUCGUUGCUGGAAUGCAUUCAGAUACUAUUGCAACGGGGUGACCCCUUGCCAGAGGCUUUUCUGAAAAAAGCUUCUCAAAAAUGGUUAAAGACCCAUGCUGGUUACAGAACUCCAGACGAGUGCUGCUUGUUUGAUUCGGAAUGGGAUUUAUUUGUGAAGCGGACUGAUGGUCCUUUCAUUGAUGAAGAUUUUUAUGGUUCCAACAUCACAUCAUACAAAAGAGAGCUCAGCGCCAUAGGAGUUGUCGUUGAUGCAGAGAGGGCAUGCUCAUUGCUCGCCAGUUACUUGGGUUCCCAUUCUGAAUCGACCACCAUAGUUCGAAUAUAUCAUUUCUUGAAUAAAUAUAACUGGAAGCCAGGUACUGAAGCAGCUAGCAAGAUAUGGAUUCCAUGCAGAAGUAAAGUGGGAAUAUGGGCUGAUCCACCAAACUGUGUUCUACAUGAUAAAGAUGGUCUCUUUGGUGGUCCGUUGUUUGUUCUUGAGAAAUACUAUGAAAAGGGAUUGCUUGAUUUUUUUCCCAAGAGUUUUGGUGUUAAAUACAGUCCUUCACUUGAUGACUACUGCCAGCUUUGGAAGUCCUGGGAAAGAACAAGAAGUCAAUUGACAAAUGCUGAGUGUUGUGCAUUCUGGAAGUGUGUUAUGAAGCACGGCAGCUCAAAAAUAGCAAAAGCUCUGCUUGAUGACUUGGAAAAGCUGCCUGUUGUUUCAUGCUCCGGUGAAAUCUUCUUGUUCGACAAGCGUGACGUUUUUAUAGCAGAUGACCUUCAACUGAAGGAUCUGUUUGAGAAGUUUUCAACCCAGCCAAUAUUUGUCUGGUAUCCUCAGCCAAGCGUGGCUUCUUUACCCCGCAGCUCUUUGUUUGAAGUGUACAGAAGAACUGGGAUCCGGACAAUUUCUGAAUCUGUACAGAUGAAAGAACUCUCCUUAGAAAAUGGCAUGGAACUAAAGCAGGUGAAUCCGAGUGGUAUUUUUAUUGGCAAAGAACUGGUUAGACUCAUUCUUGGCUUCUUAGCAAAUCCUUCUUUCGAUAUGGAAGCAAUGAAGAGGCAUGAAGCUGUGAAGUGCCUUCUUAAUCUCACUGUCUUGGAGACUGAGGAGCCAAUAAACGUGAGCUACAGUUUAUCACUCUCCUCUGGUGUACCCGUGAAUGUAAGAGCUAGCCAAUUGGUACGGUGGGACAGAGAGAGUUGUAAAUUUUUCACACGGACGAUUGACUAUGCUGGUGGACAGAAAAAUCUCAUUGAAUAUGCAACAUAUUUCUCAGAGGCAAUAGCUGAGGGAGUUUUAUGGGAGCAUGAAGAUCACGUAUUUGCAUUGGCCGAGCUGAUUAAGUUGGCUUUCCUGCUAACUUUUGAUGAAGAAGCAAUUCAAUUUUUGAUGAAAUCCAGGAAUUUGCAAAUUUUCAUGGAGGACGAGGUAUUCUUGUCUGAUGCCUUCCCCUCUGUCUAGGCUAUUAUGGACCCUUAUAUUUCAGCUACUCUCUCUCUUUUGCUUUAUUUUAGCACCAGCCUCUCUGCAUGACUAAAAUAUUACUAUGUUUGUGUAUUUGUCAUGUGAGAUGGUGAAUGCUAUUGGUUUGGAGUAUGUAAACCUUAGUGCUAGUUUUUCAUUUGCUUUGCAGUGGUUUGAUGUAAUAACUAGUGUGUAUUGUAAUUUGUAAGAAUGGAUCAUUUGAAAUAUUUCUCUCAAAGAAAGAACACUAAAAUGUUACGACAUUGAAAUGGGCUACCACGAUAAGAUAAAUAUUUGGCAAGUUUCAAGCCCAAAUGUAGAAACCCCAAGCCCAAAGAUGUAUGCCCCAGCCACAAAGUGUGUAAAUACUUAGGGCAUUUUAGAAUACUUCCACUCAAAGAUAUUUUGUGAAAAUAUCUCACCUACUCUAGAAUGCUCCAUGUAAUCUCCACCGUAUAUUUUUGUAAGCAAAUCUUAGCCGUACGUUGAGGAGGUGAAAAUGCCCAUAAAUACCACCCCUCCUCUCAUUUGUAAAAAACCAGUAAGCAAUCAUUUCCUUAAGUUUUGUGAAUAUUUGCUUCUUAUUAAUAUAAUUAUAUUUGGUGUUUUGUAUUAGUAUUAUUUUGGUUGUCUUUCCCGUUAUUAUUCUUGGUGUUAUAAAUUAUUAAUCAAUCUUGGAGUUUAUCACUACACUGAUAUCCAACGGAUGGUAUCGGAGCAUUAAUCCCAACAGAAACUGGUGCUGCAAUAAAUUAAAAGCUCAGGUCAGCAUACAAUGAAAGCGGUGAUCUUGCUCUUUCUAAUCAAAGAUGAAAUGAAGUUUCAAUCAUUCACUUAUGCAGCCAAAUACCAAUAUAAGCCAUUGCUAAUUAGUAUUCUAGUUCUUCUCCUUCAAGACAAAAUAGCACUGGUCUUUUUUAGCUAGAAAUAAAAACAGAAACACACAAAUGAAUUUAAGUUUUUUUUUUUUUUUAAAAAAAAAACACCAGGUGUUGCCUUUUUUUUUUUAAAAAAAAAAAGCUGCAACUCGUGAUGUUGUAUCGUAAAAAGUUUACCUCCUUAGCUGAUAGGAGUAAUUUCGCAAUGAAGAUUGUGCAAGACGAAUCCUUUGCAAGAGCUGCUCCAUUAUUACACAUACAAACAAAUAAUCAUAAUAUAAAAACCACAUCCUUAGUUGCUAAUUAACUAUUUUAAAGAUCUCAUUUAACCAAAACAUAAUUUAAAUUACUGAAACAGAGGAGCCUUCACAACCCAUUCUUUCCCUCGUAAGCCCCCACAUUGUCUUCAUCUUUGCUUUGUCAGUGACUGUAACUCCUCUCUAAACAAAAACAACAAUUAGAACAGACAUCAGCAUCGAAGUACAGAACCACGUCGUUUACGAAACUAUAUUUGAUACAUUUUGAUCAAAGUAGCUUACAAGGAAAAAAGAAUUCUCCGCUAGAUGAAAGUAAAAAAUAUUUUCCGGGAAAGUAAAAUGAAAGCUAUGUAACGAAAUCUGGCGAAAUGGCAAUAGAGUAGUACUAAUUGGGCUCGAGAUUCGGCUGAAGCGAUUCUGAUGGGCUAACAAAGAGGAGAGACCGUUAACCCGCCGCGAAAAUAUCUGCGCCCCGCCAUUAAUUCGACGAUUCAUUUAUUUAUUUUUUCAAUCCAUUAGAAGGUCUUGGAUUGGUCAUGGGCUACCCAUAAACCCGCUUAGUCCAUCAAAAGUUUCUCUGUAUAAAUGAACUGGAUUUUGAUUUAUUUGUUUCUCUUAAUAAAUUAUUUUUCUUUUUCUUUUUCUUUUUGGUACUACUAUGGGAAAAUUAUCUAAUACUGUUGUUUUUUUUUUUUUUUUUUCCAGCUGUUAUCUUUAGAAAUUUUAAAAACUGUAUUCAUAAAUUCAUAUGAUAAAUAGUACUAUUUUAAAUGUAAACAUAAAUUUACAUUCUGUGUGUGUUGUAUGGAUGUGCAUUCACAUAUUAAUAUGAAGCGACGCAGUGAUCCUGCUGGAGCCAAAAUGAAGAGAAGCUGAUUGGCGAGCCCAACAGAAGGAAAAUAAUGCCAGCACUGCUGUGAUAUUCUAUUUCCUAGAAUCUUAGCCAUUGGUUUCUCAUUGUAACUCCACCACCGUUGAACGCUUUUCUUUUUGGUGUUCGCCUAAAGGUUUAUUUUUCUCUAAUUAAGUCAAUGUCAAUUGGGUCAAUCGCUUUUCUACUUUGUCUCCUUCCUUAGCAAGUUACCUUCUCCGCGAAGCAGUCUUCACUUGACUAGCUCACUAACACUAAACUACACUCUUCUGCAAACCACCAUUUUAUUUUCUUCUCUCUCGCUCUCUCAAUCUCUGGUUUUGCUUAGUUCUGUUUGCAAUGGCGACUCCUCGUGAUCACAUCGAGCAUCUUAGGAAGACGUGGUUCUCCAUCGGAGGACCAGAGAAUCCACUGGCUACCAUGCUUGACAAGGCUGUUAAAUACCUCUCUGAUGAACUCUAUACUAAGGAUGUCCACUAUUUUAUGGAACUCAUACAGGUUUUUUACGCUACUACUCUUUCCUCUCUAUCUAUUUUCCUAAAUAUGACACAAUGCUAAUGGAUGUGACCGUUUCACCUCUGUUAUGUUGUUUGUUUUGCCUUUCCCCCGUUUUUGUUGGCAUGUACUAUGGAAGGAUGCAUUGGUUUUUUUUUUUUCUUUUUCUUUUUGUUAGCGUUCUGAUUUUUCAACUGAUUCAGACUUCGAAAUUUUGAUCGUUCAUUAUUAUGUCAAUAUCGAUUGAGCAGUGUGUUCUGUAUAAAUGAAUUUGAAGUAUAGAGUUCCGUUUAGAUAUUUUGCAAAAAGCGUUGAAUUAAAUUUUCCUCCGCAGAAUGCAGAGGACAAUGAGUAUCCGGAAAGGAUAGAUCCUUCGCUUGAGUUUGUCAUAACAUCGCGGGAUAUAACAGCCACGGGUGCUCCUGCAACAUUACUGAUAUUCAAUAAUGAGAAAGGAUUUUCUCCUAAAAAUAUAGAGUCUAUUUGCAAUGUUGGAAAUUCCACUAAACAAGGCCACAGGAAACGCGGUUAUAUCGGGGAGAAAGGUACUUAUUCAUUUAUUUCUCUUUAAAUUUUAUAGAUAUGCUGUCCAAUUCUGUCAUAUAUGAGAAUGAGAACCUGUCAUGGAGAUCAUAUCAUUUAUUGGCAUUUCCAAGUUUCUCUCUAAACUUGCACAUCUUUUUCUGCUCUCUUGUUGUCAGUUGGGCUUAAGAAAUGCUAUAAAGUAUGUCUCCAAAGUUGAGAUAACAAACUUUCUUUUUGGUUGAUCAACAGGAAUUGGGUUCAAGAGUGUGUUUCUUAUCAGUGCUCAACCUCACAUUUUCAGUAAUGGCUAUCAGAUACGCUUCAAUGAAAAGCCUUGUCCAUACUGCAAACUUGGAUACAUAGUUCCUGAAUGGGUUGAGGAGAACCCAUCUCUCUCUGAUAUAAAACAAAUUUAUGGUUCUGGUCCCUCCAUUCCUACUACAACAAUAGUCUUGCCUUUGAAGCUUGACAAGAUGAAAGCUGUGAAGCAGCAACUCUCAAACAUUCAUCCUGAAGUCCUGUUAUUCCUUUCCAAGAUAAAGCGCCUUUCUGUGAGAGAGGAUAAUGAGGAUCCGCGGCUCAAUACUAUUAAAGCUAUAGCUAUUACAAAAGAGACCAAUUUUGUGACAAGGAAGAAUAUUGAUGCUGAAUCCUACACGCUCUAUCUGUCAGCAGAGGAAACUGGCGAUGCCUCCAAUGAAGAAUGCAGCUACUAUGUCUGGAAGCAGAAGCUUCCUGUCAGACAGGAAAAUAAAGUUGAUAGGAGAAUGGAAGUGGAGGAGUGGGUGAUCACUUUGGCAUUUCCUAAUGGAGAGCGUCUGCAUAGGGGAACAAGCUCACCUGGGGUUUAUGCGUUUCUUCCUACAGAGAUGGUUACGAAUUUCCCAUUCAUAAUUCAAGCUGAUUUUCUUCUAGCAUCAUCAAGAGAAACAAUACUUUUGGACAAUAUAUGGAAUCAAGGAAUUCUUGACUGUGUGCCCUUUGCUUUCAUUAAUGCAUUAAACUCGCUUGUCAAAACUACAGAAGACGCACCUGCUUCUAGUUUGCCCCCAAUGUUUAAGUUCCUUCCAGUCAGCAGCUCUCCUUAUCCAAGGUUGAAUGCUGUCAGGGAGUCGAUCAAAGCAAAACUGGCUGAAGAAAAUAUUGUUCCAAGUGAAUCGUACACGGAGCAGAAGUUCUUUCAUAAACCAUGCGAAGUUCGUAGAAUAAUGCCUGAAUUCUGGAAUAUUUUGAAGAUGGCAAGGAAUCAAGGAGUGAGCUUGCAUAAUCUUUCCUCCCAUGGUUGGUAUGUUCUGAAUUCUUCGUUUGACCAACCAGAGUAUGAUGAAAUACUGAAUUUUCUAGGAGUAGGAUCAGUGAACAAUGAAUGGUAUGCUAAGUGUAUCCAGGGCUCUAAUCUCAUAAUGGGAGUCUCCGAGGAAACUUAUUUGGAGAUUCUUGCCUUCCUUGCUGACAAUUGGCAGUCCAAGUUUCGCUACACUGAGGUUCUAAACAUUCCAAUUAUAAAAUAUGAAGGUAAAGACGGGGGUGUAUGUUUGUGCACUAUUAAUGAAUCAGCAAAAAGUAGGUUGUUACUGUGCUUAUCUGAUGUGUUUGGUCAAGCAUCACGGUUGAUUGAUUGGAACAGAGAAUUCAGAUGCGUGGCAAAUUUGUUUUUUAUGCCAUUAAGUACACAAGAAGCCAUCAGGGUAUGUUCCAAACGGCGAUUGGUGUGGGACUGGUUCAUAAAUCAUGUGAAUCUUAAAGCUUACAAUGUAUAUCAGUAUGCAUCUGUACUCUGUAAACAUGUUAGUGGUGACCGGAAGCUUGUCAUUGCCUAUGCUCUCUUUUUAUAUAGCUCAUUCUCCUGCAAGUAUCUGUCAAAGACAGAGGUGGAUGAUUUGUGUCGUAUUAUGCCUCUUGUAGAUAACUAUGGGACUGUGACCAAAAGUUGGAGUGCGGUUCUUGUGCCAGCUAAUGGAAGCAAAUGGGUGCAGUUGAUUGGUUCAAAUCCCUGGAGAACAGAGGGUUAUAUUGAGUUGGGAGAAGACUAUUCAUGCCCUGGAUCUUACGUUGGUCAAAGAGCCACCGGGAACCAACUCAUAGAGUUCCUGAAAGCUCAUCUUGGUGCUGCUGAUAUUCCUUAUAUAUCUCCACCCAAUGCAGGAAUUCCUACUGUGUCUUCACCACUAACCAAGCAGAACGCAUUCUUGCUGUUGGAUUGGAUUCAAAACCUGAAAUAUAGCAGAAGUCGCAUGCCAGAGAGGUUCUUAACUUGCAUAAAGGAUGGUAGCUGGCUGAGAAUAACUAUGAAUGGCUGUUCUGGAUAUAAACCACCAUCACAGUCUUUCCUGCUCAAGUCAAAUAGCGGAAACUCAGACU
rnacentral:lncRNA from 1 species